rnacentral:lncRNA from 1 species
GCCAAUUCCAACCACCUCGGCCCACUGCCCAAAUCCAACGUUUCUGGUCUCCGGGCGGCGCUGCCUUAGCAGGAUCCGCCGCCAGGUGGCGCGCUCCCCCCGCCCGGAGUGGGUUUUGUUCCAUCCCGGACUUAGAUCUUCCAAGACGGCGAUUUCCUUCUGGUCGGGUCUCUUCCCGAGGAUCCGCUUUACUCGUACUAGAAACUCUGACCUCGAAUGCAGUUCCAGAAGCAGAACCCUGUAGGGGGUUUCAGGCGGCCAAGAAGGGAAGUGGUUCUCCUAAGACCGUCCCGGCUUCAGUCCACGGCGCUCACUAAAUGCCUCCCACGCCAGACGAGGUCCCCCGUCCCCGGAGCUCGCGUCCCAGAGGUUCACGUGUUGAAAUCCUAACUCCAAAUAUGAUGAUAGGAGGAGAUGGGGCCUUCGGGAGGUGAUGAGGUCAUGAGGGUGGAAUCCUCAUGAAUGGUCUCAACGCCCUUAGAAAAGAGACCCCAGAGACCUCGCUCCCGCUUUCUACUGUGGGAGAAUGCAGCAAGAAGUCAGCCGUCUAUGAACAAGGAAGCAGGUCCUCUCCAGGCACUGAAUGUACCAGUGCCUUGAUCUUGGACUUCCCAGCCUCCAGAACUAUGACAAUAAAUUCUGUUGUUUAAGCUACAUGGUCUAUGAUACUUUUGUUAAAGAAGCCCAAAGUGACUAAGACAGGCAUCAAACAAUAUAUUGUCCUUUGUGAUGGAUCCUUUCACUUUGCAUAAUGUUUUCAAGGUCUAUCCAUUUUAUACCACAUAACAGCACCUCCUUUGCUUUCAUGGCUGAAUAAUAUUCCAC